rnacentral:lncRNA from 1 species
GCAAUAGCUCCAUUAAUGUUUCAUGUUCUCUGAAAAUUGACUGCUUCUCGAUUGUUCUUCAGCAUCUUCUUCUCUUUCAAUCUUCUCCUCACUUCUUUCUUUCGACCUUUCUACUUUGGGUAUUACAAAUUCAGGUUAGUGUCUCUUCUAUUUUUGAUUUUAUUUGUUUUUUCUAUUUUAUUUUUCAUAUUUUGUCUGCGAUUCUCCUUUGUUGUUGCUGCUCUUUAUUUUCGGUUUUUUUGUAUUCCCUUUGUUUGUCUUUAUAUUUCAUGCCAUUUGUUUUCAUAUGCAGGAUAUCUACUAAUAUACUUUCUGCUUUAAGUUGUGGUCUAAGCAAUUGGCUUAAGAUUUCAGUUAAAUUUGAUUUUUGUUUCCUUUUUGUUUGGUCUUCUCAACUCAAAUUUCACUUUACUCUUUUCUAAAGACUUGUUCUUUAGAAGAAUAUUCCGUGAAUAGCUGCAGAGAUAUCGAAUACGAAUAAAAAGCAUAAAAAUAAGCAAAUAUUGGAAGAAAUAUAAUUUGACAAAAGGGUUAGGAAACGUGAAUUAAAUAGACUGAUCACUGAUGCCACCUGAAAAAAGAGGCCCUUUAGCAUGAGAUGAGGAAGCAGAAUUGAAUUGAAAAUACGACGUCUUUCUGAUAGUUCAAUUAACGUUGAAUAAUCUAAUGCUUCGUGCUCUGAUUCUGCCAAUGUUUAUAUCAAUCAGAGCUCUCUUAUCAUAAGAAAUUCAUCGCUUCUCGCAAACAGGUUAACAUCAAGCACAAAACAUAAACUGCAUACUAAAGAGUCAGAGAUAAUAAUAAAUCAAGAUUGUUUAAAAAUAUUCUAUUAGGAACAAUAGUAUUUACCUCUUUUUCAAGUUAAUAUUUUCUUGUAUCAAAGUUCUAAUAUUUUGGGUGUGAUUUCAGAGAAUUUAGUUGCUCGAGUAUUGUCUUUGUUUCACUUUUAUAGUAGAUUUAGUGGUUUGUUUUUUCUCCCCUGCUACAUUGCCUCAUCUUUUUUUACUGUGAUAAGUUGUUUCUCUUUACAUAUGUUGAAAAUUAGUACCUGACUGUUCUUUUUUGUUUCCCGUUUAUAGGUUCUACCUGGAAGGGUUUUAGUUGUGUUACUCGGUCUCUGAAGACAAGGGAAGACUUAAAGUUGUCAAUGAAUACGAAAGGUUGAAUUUGUCUCUAGAAAUACCUUUGAAUUGUUUGUGCUCGAACCUAAUAAGGAGCCACAAGAUGAUGAUUAGGAAAGAAGAUGAUCGACCUAUUAAAAGAAUUUAUAAUACCACCUGAAAAUGGCCUUCCAUGGCGGCCUUUAAAAUCUUGAUCAGUUACAUCUUCUUUAGUUAACUCUUUUGUUACAUAAAAUUAACUUUGACGUGCACCUCUACAUUUGUCCAACUGAAUUUUUUAAAUUAUUUGCAAUAAUCAAUACCAGAGAAGUUUGAAAUAUAAUAGGCAUCCUAGCUUCAACACACAUAAUGUCAUUAUUCAUUAUGUGUAAUAAUUUGGCUGAUGGUACAUUUGAAAACAGAGAAGUAUUUGUUUGAUAACAAGAGGUGUAAUUAUAUUUCAUCAAAAGUAGUUAGGAUUUAUAUAUUAUUAUUCUUUAUCUAUUUUUUCUUCCGUUAGAGUUGAAAACUUUGUAGAAGGUUGAUAACUUUUUUAUUAUGAAGUUAAAAUUGCAAUGGCCUAAAUAGGAUAGAGGGUGUCAAGCUGAUUCUGAAAUUUGCCUAAGAAGAACAUUGUGAUAACGAUAAUAUCACGACAACUUAUUUUGAUAGUUUUUUCUUUCACUUAGUUAUGUGGAGAUAUUAUUUGAACCAAAUCCUGAAUUUUUUGUUUAUUAAAAUUUUCUCUUCAACAAUUAGAUUCCUUUGUUCAUAGGCAGAGUUACAACCAUAUAUGGUAAUUAAGGACAAUGCCUUGAAAAAAGGUAUGUCAAUUACCAAUAAAACUUACAAUGAUGAAUGAUCUAUCGUAGUUACAUUAAAUUCUUAAAUUAUUCAAUCUCUUUCAUAACCUGGAGUCUUCCAACAAUUGUGAAAGCCAAAUAGGAGCUUUCUACAAACAACUCCGGGAAAGCUAUGAAAAAUUUAACAAAUUUCACAGCAAUUUAUUUUCAGGGACUAGUGUACCUACAAACACAUUAUUUUUUGUGGUUAAUGUCUGAUUUUUCAGGUAGUAAGAUAUCAUUUCUAGACUGAACAACAUGAUUUAAAAGGGUAGGUAGGCAGUAAUAUUGUCAAAUUAAUUAAUACAUUAUGUUAUACGGGUUUUGAAACUUGAUCUUUUUUCAUAAUUUUAUAUAUAUCAAUAUCUUUUGUUAAUAAGUAAAUAGAACUCCGAUGUAAAAAUUGUACAACUUUCGAAGUAGAGUGCAUCAUUUUUGUUAAUAUGUAAAUAGUACUCUCAUGUAUGUUAAAACUAUACAAACUUUUCAAUGAUGCCUCUUAUCUUUUUCGCAAUUUCUUAUAAUAACAAAGUUAAUUGUGAAUGAUGAUUUCAAAUUUUACAGUAUUGGGUGAUAUUAUCUAUGGAGCAAGAUGAGUCCAAGGCGAUGGCUAAUGGUCGAGGGACUAAGACGAGGACUGGCAAUUAAAAACAUGAAUAAGCAAUACUUCUUUAGUACUGUCCAUAAACUAAUAAACUACGACAAGUCAGUAUAUUGAUAAUUAAUUAGCAAUGGUUCGCUACAUAUAUAUUGGUAUGCUAUACAUAAAAGGACUUCAUACCACAGACAUUGUCAAUUUUCUAUGUUAGUCUCCCAUUUCCUAAUAGCAUCAAGUCUAAAGAAGGUUUGUGUAAUAGUUUUAUGACGUGGAUUUUAGAAGUAAAACAACUCAUGUAAAGCGAAAAAUGUAAAAAUGACACAACUUAGGUAUCCUAAAUUUCAAUCAUUACAAAUGUUACGCCGCGUUAG